GAACGCUGGCGGAAUGCUUUACACAUGCAAGUCGAGCGGCAGCGCGGGGGCAACCCUGGCGGCGAGCGGCGAACGGGUGAGUAACAUAUCGGAACGUACCCCGUCGUGGGGGAUAACACAGCGAAAGCUGUGCUAAUACCGCAUACGACCUGAGGGUGAAAGCGGGGGAUCGCAAGACCUCGCGCGAUGGGAGCGGCCGAUAUCGGAUUAGCUUGUUGGUGAGGUAAAGGCUCACCAAGGCGACGAUCCGUAGCUGGUCUGAGAGGACGACCAGCCACACUGGAACUGAGACACGGUCCAGACUCCUACGGGAGGCAGCAGUGGGGAAUUUUGGACAAUGGGGCAACCCUGAUCCAGCCAUUCCGCGUGAGUGAAGAAGGCCUUCGGGUUGUAAAGCUCUUUCAGCAGGAACGAAACGGUGGCCAUUAAUACUGGCUACUAAUGACGGUACCUGAAGAAGAAGCACCGGCUAACUACGUG
rnacentral:rRNA from 1 species